UAGUUUUAAGGGCAACCUAUCUGAAAAGAUAAGGACGCAAAACUAUAGGGGCUACAGUAAGAAAACCUUGCUAUGCCAGCCAGUUGCGACG
rnacentral:ncRNA from 2 species